rnacentral:rRNA from 1 species
GUCCACGCCGUAAACGAUGAGUGCCAGACGUCGGGGGGCUCGCCUCUCGGUGUCGACGCUAACGCAUUAAGCACUCCGCCUGGGGAGUACGGCCGCAAGGUUAAAACUCAAAGGAAUUGACGGGGGCCCGCACAAGCGGUGGAGCAUGUGGUUUAAUUCGACGCAACGCGAAGAACCUUACCAGCCCUUGACAUGCUAGGUUUCGGCCUCCUGAAAGGGGGGCCUUCAGUUCGGCUGGGCCUAGUACAGGUGCUGCAUGGCUGUCGU